rnacentral:rRNA from 1 species
AGCUCCAAUAGCGUAUAUUAAAGUUGUUGCAGUUAAAAAGCUCGUAGUUGGAUUUCUGAAUGGAUGUUUCGGUCCAUUUGCUUUUUUGGCAUUUGUGUACUAUGAAAUGUCUGUUCAUUUUUGUGAGAGAAUUUUUCUGCCAUUAAGUUGGUGGGAUUACAAUCUUGCAUCGUUUACUGUGAAAAAAUUAGAGUGUUUAAAGCAGGCUUUGGCCAAAUCUUGAAUACAUUAGCAUGGAAUAAUAAGAUAUGACUUUGGUGGUCUAUUUUGUUGGUUUGCACACCAGAGUAAUGAUUAAUAGGGACAGUUGGGGGUAUUUAUAUUCCAUCGUCAGAGGUGAAAUUCUUGGAUCGAUGGAAGAUAAACUAAUGCGAAAGCAUUUAUCAAGGAUGUUUUCA